rnacentral:rRNA from 1 species
AUUGAACGCUGGCGGCAUGCCUUACACAUGCAAGUCGAACGGCAGCACGGGAGCUUGCUCCUGGUGGCGAGUGGCGAACGGGUGAGUAAUACAUCGGAACGUACCCUGAAGUGGGGGAUAACGUAGCGAAAGUUACGCUAAUACCGCAUAUUCUGUGAGCAGGAAAGCAGGGGAUCGCAAGACCUUGCGCUCUGGGAGCGGCCGAUGUCGGAUUAGCUAGUUGGUGGGGUAAAGGCCUACCAAGGCGACGAUCCGUAGCGGGUCUGAGAGGAUGAUCCGCCACACUGGGACUGAGACACGGCCCAGACUCCUACGGGAGGCAGCAGUGGGGAAUUUUGGACAAUGGGGGCAACCCUGAUCCAGCCAUGCCGCGUGAGUGAAGAAGGCC